UAGGUUUGUCCUAAGUCGAACUUCCUUAAGUUUGACCAAGUAUAUAGGAAAAAUUACUAAUACCCACAUCAUCAACUAUAUGUAGUCUGACAAUAUAUUUUAUGAUGAAUGUAAUGGAACUAAUUUGGUGUUGUAGAUAUUGGUAUAUUUUUCUACAGACUUGGUUAAACCUAGAGAAGUUUGAAUUAGGAUAAAUCAAG
rfam:Triticum aestivum genome assembly, contig: Triticum_aestivum_CS42_TGACv1_scaffold_486383_6AS